rnacentral:rRNA from 1 species
UGGGGAAUAUUGCACAAUGGGCGAAAGCCUGAUCCAGCAACGCCGCGUGAGGGAUGACGGCCUUCGGGUUGUAAACCUCUUUCAGCGGGGACGAAGCGAAAGUGACGGUACCCGCAGAAGAAGCACCGGCCAACUACGUGCCAGCAGCCGCGGUAAUACGUAGGGUGCGAGCGUUGUCCGGAAUUAUUGGGCGUAAAGGGCUCGUAGGCGGUUUGUCGCGUCGGGAGUGAAAACACCGGGCUUAACUCGGUGCUUGCUUUCGAUACGGGCAGACUGGAGUACUGCAGGGGAGACUGGAAUUCCUGGUGUAGCGGUGGAAUGCGCAGAUAUCAGGAGGAACACCGGUGGCGAAGGCGGUUCUCUGGGCAUUACCUGACGCUGAGGAGCGAAAGUGUGGGGAGCGAACAGGAUUAGAUACCC